rnacentral:rRNA from 1 species
GAGUUUGAUCAUGGCUCAGAUUGAACGCUGGCGGCAUGCCUUACACAUGCAAGUCGAACGGCAGCACGGGAGCUUGCUCCUGGGUGGCGAGUGGCGAACGGGUGAGUAAUGCAUCGGGAACGUAUCCUGGAGUGGGGGAUAACGUAGCGAAAGUUACGCUAAUACCGGCAUAUUCUGUGAGCAGGAAAGCGGGGGACCUUCGGGCCUCGCGCUCUUGGAGCGGCCGGAUGUCGGAUUAGCUAGUUGGUGAGGUAAAGGACUCACCAAGGCGACGAUCCGUAGCAGGUCUGAGAGGAUGAUCUGCCACACUGGAACUGAGACACGGUCCAGACUCCUACGGGAGGCAGCAGUGGGGAAUUUUGGACAAUAGGGGGCGAACCCUCGA